CCACAUAAUGAGGUCGUCAGGAACAGAAGUGCCCCCAUCCCCACACCCAACCAUCCGAGGUGGUCCCAUCUGAGCCACUGUACUCGCUAUAAUUCAGAAAACUGAAGGGCAGGUGGUGGAGAGGACAAUUCUAUUAGCGCCUAAUAAAGUGCUAACAACACUUAAAUGCAAAACACACAGCUAGAUGCUACAGUUGCUAUACAGAUGAAUCAAACUUAGGCCAUCUCCUUAAGGAACCUGGAAUCUAGUUGGGGAGAAAAGAUGCAUAUCCAAGUAAGUGGGACACAAGGCAGAAAAAGUAAGUACUGCAAGAGAAGUCCAAAGUCCUUAAUUUCAGAGAGGAAAUCACACCAGACUACCACAUUCCAGCUCCAUCCCAUCUUUCUAGGUUGUUCUCCCACAACUCCUCCCAUAUGCCCCAAUCAUCAGCCCCAUCAAACUAUUGUUUCCCUGAUAUACUUUGAUUUCCGUAUC